GAGAUAGACGAUAGAGAAUUCAUAAGACAUUAGAAGACAGCACUGCCUAGUUUUAACCUUUUGCAUAAUCGAAAUAUAUAUAGGAACCAAGAGAAUCACAUUUAUACAGAACUAGAAAGAAAAUAAGAAAAACUCUAUCUGUUUAACUGCAUCCUGAGUUGGGAAACGAGCCGGGAGAGCUCGGCUUAUGCUCGAGUGUUGAAUUGAGGACCAAUGACUGAUAGACGAGGGAGAGGUGUGGACUGCCGAGAACGAUGGUUCGGAGAGCUAGAACCAAGGGAAGUUCUGUCCCGAGGGACAGAGCGGCAACGACUCGAGACGGCGUGACGACGCGGCGAAGGAACC
rnacentral:lncRNA from 1 species